rnacentral:lncRNA from 1 species
AUGUCUUCUGCAUAUUAUGAGAGAAACGGGAAAUGUGGAGAAUUCUUGGGGGUUUUUUCCGUUCUUCCCUCCCCAUGUUCCAGCAAAUGUGGCCUAUCGGAAAACUGGAGAUCACUAGGGCAGAAGCAAGGUCCCAUCAUGAGAUGCUCUUUGCCUGUCUCUAUCCCUACCAUGGCUCCUGCCUAUCUGCACUGAUCUUUGUAACUAGAAUAUAAAGAGAUUUGGAGAUUGACUAAUCACAGAACAACAGGGCUGAAUGGGAUCUCAGGGGGUCAUCUAAUCUAACAUACUGUUCAAGGAAGAACCAUGUCUCUCAGCUACUCCAGGCAGAGGUUUGUUUGACUUGCAUUUAAAAACUUCCCUCCAGUGACGGAGCUUUCAUAACCUCUCUGCCAACAUCUGCUAUUUCUUAACCACCUUCCUAGUUAAAGUUCUUCAUCAUACCAAACAAAUCUCCCUUGUUGUAGUGAAAACCUACUAUUUUUUUGUCCCAUCUCCAGUGGACAUAGAUUACAAUUGAUCAUAACAACACUUUUUUUGUAUUUGAAAACUUAUCAAAGCCCCCCUCAUUCUUCUCCUCUCCUCUUCUCUAGACUAAAUAAUUCCAGUUCUUCCACCUUAUGUAUCACGUAUUUUUUUAGAUCUUUGUCUUGCUGCUUUUAACUGGUCUAUUGUGACUAGGGUUACCAUACAUCCAGGUUUUGCCCGGACAUGUCCUCUUUUUGAGUCCUUUCAUCUGUCUGGAUGGGUUUCUUAAAUCUGACCUAAUGUCUGGGAUUUUGCUUUGCUUUGCUGGUGGGAGCAGGGGGAGGGCAAUCGGAGACACCAGGG